GACGAACGCUGGCGGCGUGCUUAACACAUGCAAGUCGAACGGAAAGGCCCUGCUUUUGCGGGGUGCUCGAGUGGCGAACGGGUGAGUAACACGGGAGUAACCUGCCCUUGACUUUGGGAUAUCUUCAGGAAACUGGGGCUAAUACCGGAUAGGAGCUCCUGCUGCAGGGUGGUGGUUGGAAAGUUUCGGCGGUUGGGGAUGGACGCGCGGCUUACCAGCUUGUUGGUGGGGUAGUUGCCUACGAAGGCUUCGGCGGAUAGUCGGCCUGAGAGGGUGACCGGGCACCAUGGGACUAAGAGAGGGACCAGUCUGGUACAGGAGGCAACGGGCGGAAAUAUUGCACAGUGGGCGGGAGCGUGUUGCGAAGGCGCCGCGAGCGGAAAGACGUCCUACGGGUUAUGAACCGCUGUCGCCUGUGACGAAGCGUGAGUGACGGUAAUGGGUAAAGAAGCACCGGCUAACUACGUG
rnacentral:rRNA from 1 species